GCAGCAUGCAGGACAGACUGGCAGAGAGGAAAGCAUUACUGCUGCAGACUGUGCAGAGCCAAUAUGAAGAGAAGGACAAAGCCUUCAAGGAACAGCUGACCCACCUGGCCUCCUUGCUGCCCACCCUGCAGGUAAGGUUGAGGGUGUGUAGGGCUGGACACAGCCCACAGCCCAGACACUGAGCAUGCCCCCGCCGGCGCCCCCUGCAGGUUCAUCUGGUCAUCUGCUCUUCCUUUCUCAGCUUGGCCAGCAAAGCCGAGUUUCUGGAUCUGGGUUAUGAGCUGAUGGAGAGACUUCAAGGCAUAGUCACGCGGCCGCAUCGUCUAAGACCGGCUCAGAGCAGCAAGAUCGCCAGCGACCACCGCGCAGAAUUCGCGCGCUGCCUGGAGCCGCUUCUGCUGCUGGGGCCCCGCCGCGCUGUGUCCACCGUGGGCGGCGCCAACACGUGAGCCAACCAGGCGGGCGAGCGGAAUCACUGAGAAUGGCUCCGGCACCACCCUUCCCCUCCAGAGCGUCCAGUUCCGCACUUGGGGUCUGGACCAGGCCACAGCCUGAGAAGGAGGGAUGUGGACUAGCUCUAGAGAACGCUGGAAGCCCGGGCAGGCGAGCAGCUUAGUCAGGAAGGGCUGAGAGACUGUCUGGGUGCUCCUCAGCUCCUGCACAGCCUCCUGAAGCAGGCUGGGCAGGACAUUUUGGGGGUGGGGCGUGGAGUGUUAAAGUGAAUCCGAGUUGAAAGCCAGAGCCUCGGAGGGAUUAGAACUUGUGAAGCCAGUAUGUAUAGGGCUGGGCCCUCGGAGCAGCCCAGAGCCAAGAGAACCAGCAAGUGAGACCAGUCGUUAGUUCAGACCUUGUCAUGGGAGUGAGAGCACCUCGGUGUAC
rnacentral:lncRNA from 1 species